rnacentral:rRNA from 1 species
AUUGAACGCUGGCGGAAUGCUUUACACAUGCAAGUCGAACGGCAGCACGGACUUCGGUCUGGUGGCGAGUGGCGAACGGGUGAGUAAUGUAUCGGAACGUGCCCAGUCGUGGGGGAUAACGUAGUGAAAAUGACGCUAAUACCGCAUACGAUCUAUGGAUGAAAGCGGGGGAUCGCAAGACCUCGCGCGAUUGGAGGGGCCGAUAUCAGAUUAGGUAGUUGGUGGGGUAAAGGCCCACCAAGCCAACGAUCUGUAGCUGGUCUGAGAGGACGACCAGCCACACUGGAACUGCGACACGGUCCAGACUCCGACGGGAGGCAGCAGUGGGGAAUUUUGGACAAUGGGCGAAAGCCUGAUCCAGCCAUUCCGCGUGCAGGAUGAAGGCCCUCGGGUUGUAAACUGCUUUUGUACAGAACGAAAAGGUUUCUACUAAUACUAGGAGCUCAUGACGGUACUGUAAGAAUAAGCACCGGCUAACUACGUGCCAGCCGCCGCCGUAA